rnacentral:lncRNA from 1 species
AGCUCUUAGUUCUUCCCCAGGUCUCCUGUGUCUCUCUGUCCUUUCAUUUCCACCUCACUCCUACCUCCCAAGCCUGACAGAAUGCAGCUGGCUACACUGGGCUUCACGGCCCGGAGGCAGGAACCCUUCCUUCUAGGGGUAGGUUGACUUGUCUUUGAUGUAAUAGUGGGAUUGCCUGCCUGGUCUUUCCCACAGUCCCCUGAAGUCAUCUUCUGUGUACUUUAGUUGACGUAUUUUUGUUAUAAGUUGAUGUGUUUGGUAUGUUUGAAUGAUUAAUGUCCCUUUUUUUUUUGCACCAACCUGCUUUUUUCUUGUUUUGUCUACACAGGUGUUUUUAUUUACAGAUUCACAGCAUACGCAUGUGUGUGUAUUGGGUAUGUCUACGUAUAUGUGGAUGUUCGUGUGUGUUGACAUGUGGAAGUUUUUUUAGCCUUUAGUUUUUUCUCUUCAGACUAAGUUUGUGUCUACCAAGCCUUCUUUUGGGUAUUUUCGAGCUAAUUAGGUUUGUGCUUCCCCCACCAUGUAUACUUUACAUCAGUAGAUCAUGUAAAGUAUGUCUGUGCCCAUGAUGUCACUGGUUGCUUACCGCUGGUUGUGAGUUCUAGGUAUUGUUUCAGUCCAUAUUUUUUUUUUUCCUCUCUCUCUCCUAUAGUUCUAUGGUUUCAUGUAAGCAGUUAAUGUAAAUAUUGUUAGCAUUACAAGUCAUGCAGUGCUGUAACAUUUCUUUUUAAAUGUUGCACCUACUUUACAAUUAAAAAA